GACGAACGCUGGCGGCGUGCUUAACACAUGCAAGUCGAACGGAAAGGCCCUGCUUUUGUGGGGUGCUCGAGUGGCGAACGGGUGAGUAACACGUGAGUAGCCUGCCCUUGACUUUGGGAUAACUUCAGGAAACUGGGGCUAAUACCGGAUAGGAGCUCCUGCUGCAUGGUGGGGGUUGGAAAGUUUCGGCGGUUGGGGAUGGACUCGCGGCUUAUCAGCUUGUUGGUGGGGUAGUGGCUUACCAAGGCUUUGACGGGUAGCCGGCCUGAGAGGGUGACCGGCCACAUUGGGACUGAGAUACGGCCCAGAAUGCUACGGGAGGCAGCAGUCGGGAAUAUUGCACAAUGGGCGGAAGCCUGAUGCAGCAACGCCGCGUGCGGGAUGACGGCCUUCGGGUUGUAAACCGCUUUCGCCUGUGACGAAGCGUGAGUGACGGUAAUGGGUAAAGAAGCACCGGCUAACUACGUG
rnacentral:rRNA from 1 species